rnacentral:rRNA from 1 species
UGGGGAAUUUUGGACAAUGGGCGCAAGCCUGAUCCAGCCAUGCCGCGUGUCUGAAGAAGGCCUUCGGGUUGUAAAGGACUUUUGUCAGGGAAGAAAAGGAUGUGGCUAAUACCUACGUCUGAUGACGGUACCUGAAGAAUAAGCACCGGCUAACUACGUGCCAGCAGCCGCGGUAAUACGUAGGGUGCGAAGCGUUAAUCGGAAUUACUGGGCGUAAAGCGAGCGCAGACGGUUACUUAAGCAGGAUGUGAAAUCCCCGGGCUCAACCUGGGAACUGCGUUNUGAACUGGGUGACUAGAGUGUGUCAGAGGGAGGUAGAAUUCCACGUGUAGCAGUGAAAUGCGUAGAGAUGUGGAGGAAUACCGAUGGCGAAGGCAGCCUCCUGGGAUAACACUGACGUUCAUGCUCGAAAGCGUGGGUAGCAAACAGGAUUAGAUACCCUGGUAGUCCACGCCCUAAAACGAUGUCAAUUAGCUGUUGGGCAACUUGAUUGCUUAGUAGCGUAGCCUAACGCGUGAAAAUUGACCCGCCUGGGGAGUACGGUCGCAAGAUUUAAAA